GAUGCAGCGCCGGAAGAACGGAUAACUUUGAUGUCGUUAAUUAUAAGAAAUUUUCUUCUGCAUCU
rnacentral:tRNA from 1 species